rnacentral:lncRNA from 1 species
AGUGUAUCUAUAUAUUAUUUAUGUAUAUGAAUAAAAAGCUGGUGAUUCGAGUCCAAGAGGCAAAGAUGUCCCUACUAUGUAGGAAUGUGAAUUCAAAAAGCAGAAUGUCGCAUUUAACAUAUUAUUGGGUGUUGGGUUGAAUGUUCUCUUUAACAUUAUUAUUAACAAAGAAAAAUAUUGGGAUUACAACAAAAAGAUAAAUUGUUUGUUCUCUUUAAUCAGCCUCAAGAGAUACACGAGUUGAUGUUGUUUUUAUCUUUAUUUUGGAUUAUAUAUAUACAUGUUCUAAAGAUGGUGCAUGUACAUGCAUGGAUUUAUACUUUUGUUACGUAUUUUAUUUGAAAGUGUUUUAGGUAUCUUUACUGUGAACCCUUUUUGGGAUAGUGUUGAUAUUUUUGAAGAUAGUUUCCCAAAAAUAAAUGAAAUUCAGGCCAUAAUCAUUGAGGAUGGCAUGUAUUGAGAUUGAAGGACAUAUUGUGGGUAUGGGUGGUUUUGAGAUAGGGACUUCCCAUAAAGGCAUAAAUGCCAUGGAAAUAAAAAAGAUGAUGCUGAGAACAGAGAGAGAAGAUAGUGGUGGGGUUCAUCUCCUCAACAAACGGCUAGGAUAUUGAUGGUCAAUAAAUGCUUUUCUUUCAUUGUCUACUGUUUCACUUCAUCUAUUAUUAGUAGCAUUCUUCAUACUCACCAAGGAAUUAGUAUAACCCACAUGCAAAUAGAUUGUGUUCAUUAAGGU